GACGGAGGGUGCAAGCGUUGUUCGGAUUGACUGGGCGUAAAGGGCGUGUAGGCGGUCGGCCAAGUCUGAUGUGAAAGCCCGAGGCUCAGCCUCGGAAGUGCGUCGGAAACUAGUCGGCUGGAGCGCGAUAGAGGAGGGUGGAAUUCCUGGUGUAGCGGUGAAAUGCGUAGAGAUGUGGAGGAACACCGGUGGUGUAAACGGCUUUCUGGACCAUAACUGACGCUGAGGCACGAAAGCGUGGGUAGCAAACAGG
rnacentral:rRNA from 1 species